rnacentral:rRNA from 1 species
GAACUGGCAGACUAGAGUCUUGGAGAGGGGAGUGGAAUUCCAGGUGUAGCGGUGAAAUGCGUAGAGAUCUGGAGGAACACCAGUGGCGAAGGCGGCUCACUGGCUCGAUACUGACGCUGAGGUACGAAAGUGUGGGGAGCGAACGGGAUUAGAUACCCUGGUAGUCCACACCGUAAACGAUGAAUGCCAGUCGUCGGGUAGUAUACUAUUCGGUGACACACCUAACGGAGUAAGCAUUCCGCCUGGGGAGUACGGUCGCAAGAUUAAAACUCAAAGGAAUUGACGGGGGCCCGCACAAGCGGUGGAGUAUGUGGUUUAAUUCGAUGCAACGCGAAGAACCUUACCAGGGUUUGACAUCCUGCGAAUCUCUUGGAAACUUGAGAGUGCCUUCGGGAGCGCAGUGACAGGUGGUGCAUGGCU